rnacentral:rRNA from 1 species
CACGUAGGGCGCGAGCGUUGUCCGGAAUUAUUGGGCGUAAAGAGCUCGUAGGCGGCCUGUUGCGUCCGCUGUGAAAGCCCGGGGCUUAACCCCGGGUCGGCAGUGGAUACGGGCAGGCUAGAGGUAGGUAGGGGAGAAUGGAAUUCCCGGUGUAGCGGUGAAAUGCGCAGAUAUCGGGAGGAACACCGGUGGCGAAAGCGGCUCACUGGACCACAACUGACGCUGAUGCGCGAAAGCUAGGGGAGCAAACAGG